UUUACAAAUCGUGACCUUGAUGCUGGGAACGUAUGGAAAGACGGACGGAUACUCGCCAUACUUAGCGGUGAACAUUUUGGCAUUAAUUGCGGUGACGGCAUUCGUCCUGGUUAAUACGUUCGACCUCAAUAAAAACAAUGCGGAGCUGCAUGGCGCUGGAGCCACUAUACACGUUUUGCUCGGAGUGCUUCACAUUUUGAUGACAUGUGCGUCUCUUCUGCUUCCCCACUAUUUUGAGGAAAAUGGGAAACCAUCGACGAAGAUCCCGCCGCCAGCAGAGUUUAGAAUUUGCGCAUACAUUAUUGGAGUCCUUUUCCUGGCCCCGCUGCAUUGCAUUAUUGCCUGGCAAUUAUACGAAUCUCAGAAAAUAGGACAAACACUACCUACAAACAUAUUUCUACUUCGGGUUUAACCAUGGACGAAAUAGGAACAGUGGAGUGCCUCAUACCUCUCGGGUUGCCCCAAAUCCGAUGGAGUCUACUCGUUCGAGCGUGGAGAUGGAAAUUUUUCAGCCACGGAAACCCGUCCACACGGGGGAAGCCGAUAAAUUGGUGGCGGACGGGUGGUUAUGUGCAAAACGGGGUUAGGGAAACUUUACGUUUGGUUAAGUCGUAAACUCAAUAAUUUUAUGAUACUAUUGUUACUCGUCAUAUUAAG